AGCAUGUGGUUUAAUUCGAAGCAACGCGAAGAACCUUACCAGGUCUUGACAUCCCGAUGCUAUUUCUAGAGAUAGAAAGUUACUUCGGUACAUCGGUGACAGGUGGUGCAUGGUUGUCGUCAGCUCGUGUCGUGAGAUGUUGGUUAAGUCCCGCAACGAGCGCAACCCCUAUUGUUAGUUGCCAUCAUUCAGUUGGGCACUCUAGCGAGACUGCCGGUAAUAAACCGGAGGAAGGUGGGGAUGACGUCAAAUCAUCAUGCCCCUUAUGACCUGGGCUACACACGUGCUACAAUGGUUGGUACAACGAGUUGCGAGUCGGUGACGGCGAGCUAAUCUCUUAAAGCCAAUCUCAGUUCGGAUUGUAGGCUGCAAUUCGCCUGCAUGAAGUCGGAGUCGCUAGUAAUCGCAGGUCAGCAUACUCGCGGUCGAAUACGUUCCCGGGCCUU
rnacentral:rRNA from 1 species